CCCAGACAGCCAGGAUGUUGGCUUAGAAGCAGCCAUCAUUUAAAGAAAGCGUAAUAGCUCACUGGUCGAGUCGGCCUGCGCGGAAGAUGUAACGGGGCUAAACCAUGCACCGAAGCUGCGGCAGCGACACUGUGUGUUGUUGGGUAGGGGAGCGUUCUGUAAGCCUGUGAAGGUGGCCUGUGAGGGUUGCUGGAGGUAUCAGAAGUGCGAAUGCUGACAUAAGUAACGAUAAAGCGGGUGAAAAGCCCGCUCGCCGGAAGACCAAGGGUUCCUGUCCAACGUUAAUCGGGGCAGGGUGAGUCGACCCCUAAGGCGAGGCCGAAAGGCGUAGUCGAUGGGAAACGGGUUAAUAUUCCCGUACUUGGUGUUACUGCGAAGGGGGGACGGAGAAGGCUAUGUUGGCCGGGCGACGGUUGUCCCGGUUUAAGCGUGUAGGUGUGUGUUCCAGGUAAAUCCGGUUCACUUUAACACUGAGGCGUGACGACGAGGCACUACGGUGCUGAAGCAACAAAUGCCCUGCUUCCAGGAAAAGCCUCUAAGCAUCAGGUAACACGAAAUCGUACCCCAAACCGACACAGGUGGUCAGGUAGAGAAUAC
rnacentral:rRNA from 1 species